rnacentral:rRNA from 1 species
UACGGGGGGGGCAAGCGUUGUUCGGAAUUACUGGGCGUAAAGGGCGCGUAGGCGGUUUGCUAAGUUGAAUGUGAAAACUCGUGGCUAACCCAGAGCCUGCAUUCAAUACUGGCAGGCUAGAGUUCUGGAGGGGAUAGCGGAAUUCCUGGUGUAGCGGUGAAAUGCGUAGAUAUCAGGAGGAACACCGGUGGCGAAGGCGGCUAUCUGGACAGAGUCUGACGCUGAAGGCGCGAAAGCUAGGGGAGCAAACAGG